GGUGGGUUCAUCUAGUGGCCUAGGAUACCGGCCUCUCACGCCGGGUACACGGGUUCGACUCCCGUACCCACUA
rnacentral:tRNA from 2 species